rnacentral:rRNA from 1 species
GACGAACGCUGGCGGCGUGCUUAACACAUGCAAGUCGAACGGAAAGGCCCUGCUUUUGUGGGGUGCUCGAGUGGCGAACGGGUGAGUAACACGUGAGUAACCUGCCCUUUACUUUGGGAUAACUUCAGGAAACUGGGGCUAAUACCGGAUAGGAGCUCCUGCUGCAUGGUGGGGGUUGGAAAGUUUCGGCGGUUGGGGAUGGACUCGCGGCUUAUCAGCUUGUUGGUGGGGUAGUGGCUUACCAAGGCUUUGACGGGUAGCCGGCCUGAGAGGGUGACCGGACACAUUGGGACUGAGAUACGGCCCAGACUCCUACGGGAGGCAGCAGUGGGGAAUAUUGCACAAUGGGCGGAAGCCUGAUGCAGCAACGCCGCGUGCGGGAUGAAGGCCUUCGGGUUGUAAACCGCUUUCGCCGGUGACGAAGCGUGAGUGACGGUAAUGGGUAAAGAAGCACCGGCUAACUACGUG